AACAAUAAUCAUCAUCAGCGUCUGCUCUCUGCAGAUCUCAAGUGAAAGCUUCAUUAACUAAAAUGUCCAACUUUGAUUGCAAUGAUCAAACUGAGUACGAAGCUUAUGCAAAGUGUCUUGGGAAGGCUCUGUGCUACAUUCCCACCCCGACGACAGUAGGGUUAUAUGCACCCUGGGGAUCUGGAAUCAACCAGCUUCUGCACAAUGUACAAAGCGAAUUGGCAAGAUCACCGCUAGGCAGCAGCGAAACGCCAAUUGACGGGA